AGCGGGAGCUUUCCAUACCGCUUCCUCAGGACAGCCGCACCGGCGCCGGCCUCCUCCCCCCUCAGGGGCGCGCACAGAGCGGGCGUGAGGGCGGCCCCUCUCCCUGUCCUCCGGCGGGAGCGACCGGAAGAGCGGCCCCUCCCUCUCCCCUCAGGCGAGAGCAGCGGUGAGGUUGGCUCUUCACCUCGGGCAGGCACGGCGGCCUUUUCCUCUCACCGCGACCGGCCGAGGGGCUUUCCGAGAGGACUGCUGGGAGCACCGGCAUAGCCCAGCGCCAAGCGGAGGAACUUCACCCUUUCAGUUACACAGUUCAGACCAAGAUCAGCAAACUUGAGGCUUCUAAGUAACUGGAGGUACUGAAGGAGUAAGAGCAGAAGGGAAGCAGUAAGAAGCGAGCUAUGUAACGUUGUGAGCGUUCUCCUUACCAUGCCAGUUUGAAUUCACAG